AAAAAAUAUUUAUUUAUUUAUUUAUUUAUUAGAAGCAGGGAAAUGUAAUGAGGGAUAGUGGAUGUAUGAAUAUAUUUCUUAUCUGUCAAAUACUUACAGACAAAAAAAAAAAAAGAGAAAUGUUUCCCAGAGAGAAAAUCUACAGUCAGUCACUGCUUUUUUUUUUUUUUUUUUUUUUUUCCUUCUAAUAUUUCUCUGUGUGUGUGAGAAUUCAGACCAAUCCACUGUAAGAAUAACUAACUGCUACCUAGCCCACAGUGCAGGCAAGUAGAGGAGGCCUGCCCUGAGUGCCAGUCAGGCUGGGCUAACACUGUUCUGUGCUCUGCUCCUCCUUUUCCAGGUCGGCAGAGAGGUGGCAGGUCUACUCUCCGUACCCUUGGGACAGGACAAAACUCACCAGGAGCAUACAGGUACAUCUCAGCUUAAAUCACUGCUCCCUGGUGGACUUCAAGCUGGGAGAAAAUAUAGUUACCACAACAGCUUUGACUGAUGUUUCUUCUUCAGCACAUCUCCUCACUGGGAAACCCAUCCUUGCUUCCUUUCUUGAUGCAGAGAUUAAAAAAAAAAUGCUGGCCCAGAAGCAGAGCCAAGCCAGGCCUUGGCGUAGGAAAUGGCCUCGUACCAUUGCCAGAAGGAGGGAAUGCUGGAAAGAAGAUCCCUGGCAAGAGCCUGCCUUCACUUUGUACCAUGUAAGCAGCCCAACGUGAGACUGAAGAUGAACAGACCUUGUCUCAUACUGUUUGGACAUCACGAUAUCAACACUUUCCAGAACAAAGUUCUGCUGAAAUGAGUUCUGCGCCAACUCUUCCUUUGUUUAAGUAGUGCCCUCAAUAAAGUUUCUAAAAACCA